GAUGAAGAACGUAGCGAAAUGCGAUAAGUAAUGUGAAUUGCAGAAUUCAGUGAAUCAUCGAAUCUUUGAACGCACCUUGCGCUCCUUGGCAUUCCGAGGAGCAUGCCUGUUUGAGUGUCAUUAAAUUCUCAAGACCUGUCUGCUUUUUUGAUAGGUAUUGGAUUUUGGGGGUUGCAGGCUGUUUCAAAUAAAUAGCCUUGCUCUCCUUGAAUGUAUUCGUGGAGAAAAGCCAUUGAACUCCAUUGGUGUGAUAAAACCUAUCAAUGCCAGGAGCAAUAUCACUACUUCUCUCUGCUGUCUAACUGUGACUGUCUGUAUUAAUUAGUAUGGAUGGGGACAACUUGACCAACUUGACCUCAAAUCAGGUAGGACUACCCGCUGAACUUAAGCAUAUCAAUAAGCGGAGGA
rnacentral:misc_RNA from 1 species